AAUCAACGCUGGCGGCGUGCCUCAGACAUGCAAGUCGAACGUGAAAGUUUCCUUCGGGGAGCGAGUAGAGUGGCGCACGGGUGAGUAACACGUAGGUGAUUUACCUUUGGGUGGAGAAUAACAGUCGGAAACGAUUGCUAAUACUGCAUAAUGCAGCGGCUCGACAUCGAGACAGUUGUUAAAGUAGGGUUGAAAGACCUUAUGCCUAAAGAAAAGCCUGCGGCAGAUAGCUAGAUGGUAAGGUAAUGGCUUACCAUGGCGACGAUCUGUAGCCGGCCUGAGAGGGCGGUCGGCCACACUGACACUGAAUAACGGGUCAGACUCCUACGGGAGGCAGCAGUCGGGAAUUUUGGGCAAUGAGCGAAAGCUUGACCCACGCCAUGCCGCGUGAGUGAAGAAGGCCUUAGGGUUGUAAAGCUCUUUCAGCGGGGAAGAUAAUGACGGUACCCGCAGAAGAAGCCCCGGCUAACUUCGUGCCAGCAGCCG
rnacentral:rRNA from 1 species